CAAAAAUUACCACGGUAGUCAUAGUUUGUGAAGUAUAAUGGGAUUAUCUGUAAAAUUGAUUUUUAUACGAAUACUAACAAAUACCGCCAAAUAUUACAAUGUACAACGGACUUUUAUAAUGCAAAAGUCACGUGACACUAGAGUCGUUUUUUUAUUGACAAGCUGAAGCUUAGCUAAAAAAAGAGUAACCACAUAAAAAUAAUCAAGCGGCAAGGAUGAUCAAGGCUAUUCUCAUUUUUAACAACCAUGGGAAACCCAGGCUCAUCAGAUUCUACCAAUAUUUUGCAGAAGACAUGCAACAACAGAUCAUUAGGGAGACCUUUCAUCUGGUGUCCAAAAGAGAUGACAAUGUCUGCAGUUUUCUGGAGGGUGGAAGUUUGAUCGGAGGCUCUGACUACAAGCUGAUCUACAGACACUAUGCCA